rnacentral:snoRNA from 1 species
GCACGGUAAUGGAUUUAUGGUGGGCACUUCUUUAUGGGUCUUCCAUAGUGUGUACCCAUGCCAGAAUAAACUGCAGCCUCGAACCAUUGCCUAGCCCCCUUGCCCACAGGCUGUGAGCACUGACAAGAGCUGUACCCUC